rnacentral:rRNA from 1 species
AGUGAACGCUGGCGGUAGGCCUAACACAUGCAAGUCGAACGGCAGCACAGUAAGAGCUUGCUCUUACGGGUGGCGAGUGGCGGACGGGCGAGGAAUACAUCGGAAUCUACUUUUUCGUGGGGGAUAACGUAGGGAAACUUACGCUAAUACCGCAUACGACCUACGGGUGAAAGCAGGGGAUCUUAGGACCUUGCGCGAUUGAAUGAGCCGAUGUCGGAUUAGCUAGUUGGCGGGGUAAAGGCCAACCAAGGCGACGAUCCGUAGCUGGUCUGAGAGGAUGAUCAGCCACACCGGAACUGAGACACGGUCCAGACUCCUACGGGAGGCAGCAGUGGGGAAUAUUGGACAAUGGGCGCAAGCCUGAUCCAGCCAUACCGCGUGGGUGAAGAAGGCCUUCGGGUUGUAAAGCCCUUUUGUUGGGAAAGAAAAGCAGCAGGUUAAUACCCCGCUGUUCUGACGGUACCCAAAGAAUAAGCACCGGCUAACUUCGUG